CGAAAGUCUGACGCAGCAACGCCGCGUGCGGGAUGACGGCCUUCGGGUUGUAAACCGCUUUUCUGCGCGAAGAGGAAGGACGGUAGCGCAGGAAUAAGUCUCGGCUAACUACGUGCCAGCAGCCGCGGUAAAACGUAGGAGGCGAGCGUUAUCCGGAUUUACUGGGUGUAAAGCGCGUGCAGGCGGUCGUGUAAGUUGUGCGUGAAAGCGCUCUAGCUCAACCGGGCGAGGACGUGCAAAACUGCAGGGCUUGAGGUAGGUAGAGGCGUGUGGAAUUCCGGGUGUAGUGGUGAAAUGCGUAGAGAUCCGGAGGAACACCAGUGGCGAAGGCGACACGCUGGGCCUGACCUGACGCUAAGACGCGAAAGCAUGAGUAGCGAACGGGAUUAGAAACCCCGGUAGUCCAUGCCGUAAACGAUGUGUACUAAGUGUUGCGGUGGAGACAUUGCAGUGCUGAAGCCAACGUGAUAAGUACACCACCUGGGGAGUACGGUCGCAAGAUUAAAACUCAAAGGAAUUGACGGAAACUUAAAGGAAUUGAC
rnacentral:rRNA from 1 species